CGUAGGGUGCAAGCGUUAAUCGGAAUUACUGGGCGUAAAGCGUGCGCAGGCGGUUUUGUAAGACAGGCGUGAGAUCCCCGGGCUCAACCUGGGAAUUGCGCUUGUGACUGCAAAGCUGGAGUGCGGCAGAGGGGGAUGGAAUUCCGCGUGUAGCAGUGAAAUGCGUAGAUAUGCGAAGGAACACCGAUGGCGAAGGCAAUCCCCUGGGCCUGCACUGACGCUCAUGCACGAAAGCGUGGGGAGCAAACAGGAUUAGAUACCCUGGUAGUCCACGCCCUAAACGAUGUCAGCUGGUUGUUGGGUCUCUUCUGACUCAGUAACGAAGCUAACGCGUGAAGUUGACCGCCUGGGGAGUACGGCCGCAAGGUUG
rnacentral:rRNA from 1 species